rnacentral:rRNA from 1 species
AGGUAAUAAUCCUGUAGUCGAAAAUGUUGUCUCUCUUGAGUGGAUCCUGAGUACGACGGAGCACGUGAAAUUCCGUCGGAAUCUGGGAGGACCAUCUCCUAAGGCUAAAUACUCUCUAGUGACCGAUAGUGAACCAGUACCGUGAGGGAAAGGUGAAAAGCACCCCGGAAGGGGAGUGAAAUAGAACCUGAAACCGUGUGCUUACAAGUAGUCAGAGCCCGUUAAUGGGUGAUGGCGUGCCUUUUGUAGAAUGAACCGGCGAGUUACGAUUUGAUGCAAGGUUAAGCAGUAAAUGUGGAGCCGUAGCGAAAGCGAGUCUGAAUAGGGCGUUUAGUAUUUGGUCGUAGACCCGAAACCAGGUGAUCUACCCUUGGUCAGGUUGAAGUUCAGGUAACACUGAAUGGAGGACCGAACCGACUUACGUUGAAAAGUGAGCGGAUGAACUGAGGGUAGCGGAGAAAUUCCAAUCGAACCUGGAGAU